CCUACGGGUGGCAACAGUGGGGAAUAUUGCACAAUGGGGGAAACCCUGAUGCAGCGACGCCGCGUGAGUGAAGAAGUAUUUCGGUACGUAAAGCUCUAUCAGCAGGGAAGAAAAAAAGUCCUUUGGACUUUGGACGGUACCUGACCAAGAAGCCCCGGCUAACUACGUGCCAGCAGCCGCGGUAAUACGUAGGGGGCGAGCGUUAUCCGGAAUUACUGGGUGUAAAGGGAGCGUAGACGGCGAGGUAAGCCUGAAGUGGAAGUCCGCGGCCCAACCGCGGAACUGCGUUGGGAACUGUUUUGCUGGAGUAUGGGAGGGGUAAGCGGAAUUCCUGGUGUAGCGGUGAAAUGCGUAGAUAUCAGGAGGAACACCGGUGGCGAAGGCGGCUUACUGGACCAUAACUGACGUUGAGGCUCGAAAGCGUGGGGAGCGAACAGGAUUAGAUACCCGUAGG
rnacentral:rRNA from 1 species